CGCAGGUACCAAGUCGAUUUUAUUCGCUGUGCGUGGCACCUAGGGGAUCCCGAGUGAACAAUCACUCAUGAAUAAAUCACUGGUAACCGACAACGUGCUAUUCUACUACCAAGAUCAAAAAGGCAUAAGCCCAGAAGUGCUAAGGGCAGGAAAGGACACAGCGGUCCCAAACUGGACAGAGCCUAAUCAGAUGAAGACACAGACAAGGCCAUACCCUGGAGGCCAAUGAAGGGAGAAAGGAAGUGAGUCCACCUGCCCAUCUUCCCCAACAACAGCUCAGGAACAGAAGGAGGCAUAUAGAGUUUCAAACCUGCUACUUAGACAACCAACCUACCGCUCAUACGACAGUAGAAAAUCCAGUGACUGGGACAUAACCGUUAUUUUGACAGGAUCAUCAUAUUGGCCCACUUGGAGGUACAGAAACACAAGAGCCUAGGAUGUUGGUCAGCGGUCAAACAUGCCCUGAAGUGCCAAUCUGGAAUUCUUGUUACGGGAGACAAAUAACAUCCUAUUUGUUUAAA